rnacentral:rRNA from 1 species
UGAGGAAUAUUGCGCAAUGGGGGAAACCCUGACGCAGCAACGCCGCGUGAGUGAGGAAGGUUUUCGGACCGUAAAGCUCUGUCGAGCGGGAAGAAAUGCAUAGUGGCUAAUAUCCAUUAUGCUUGACGGUACCGCUAAAGGAAGCACCGGCUAACUCCGUGCCAGCAGCCGCGGUAAUACGGGGGGUGCUAGCGUUGUUCGGAAUCAUUGGGCGUAAAGAGCGUGUAGGCGGCCGGAUAAGUCAGAUGUGAAAGCCCUAGGCUUAACCUAGGAAGUGCAUUUGAAACUGUUCAGCUUGAGUAGGGGAGAGGAAAGUGGAAUUCCUGGUGUAGAGGUGAGAUUCGUAGAUAUCAGGAGGAACACCGGUGGCGAAGGCGACUUUCUGGCCCUAUACUGACG